rnacentral:rRNA from 1 species
GACGAACGCUGGCGGCGUGCUUAACACAUGCAAGUCGAACGGUGAAGCGCCUUCCUUUUUGGUGGGUGUGGAUGAGUGGCGAACGGGUGAGUAACACGUGAGUAACCUGCCCCCUUCUUCUGGAUAACCGCAUGAAAGUGUGGCUAAUACGGGAUAUUCUGGGUCUGUCGCAUGAUGGGUCUGGGAAAGAUAUUGUUUCGGUGGGGGAUGGGCUCGCGGCCUAUCAGCUUGUUGGCGGGGUGAUGGCCUACCAAGGCGGUGACGGGUAGCCGGCCUGAGAGGGUGGACGGUCACACUGGGACUGAGACACGGCCCAGACUCCUACGGGAGGCAGCAGGGGGGAAUAUUGCACAAUGGGCGCAAGCCUGAUGCAGCGACGCCGCGUGAGGGAUGGAGGCCUUCGGGUUGUGAACCUCUUUCGCCAGUGAAGCAGGCCUGCCUCGUUUGUGGGUGGGUUGACGGUAGCUGGAUAAGAAGCGCCGGCUAACUACGUG